rnacentral:lncRNA from 1 species
CAAGACCGACCUUAUCCUUUCCCCCAGCAGAUUGUUCUUCUUCUUCAUCCAUGCUCCACGCCAUUCUUGAAGCUUCCAUGCCAUUUUCUCUUUAUCCACCUCAAAUCAAGUUUUCUUCACUUUCCUUUCCAUGUUUUCUUUUCCUUUCUUCUCCAAACUUCUUGAGCAUUAAAUUUACAGCCUUUAACCCCAAUUUCCAGCACACCAAAACCCUAGGAGGAGAAGAAAGAAAAAGAGAGAAAGGAAGAAAAAGCUUGGUUUUGGUGAUUCAAGCAAGGAACGGUAAGAAUUCUUGUUUUUGGCUUGAGUGGUCUUUGAAAAUGAGUUAGUGACUUAGAGAAAUGUCUUGUGGCAGCAAAGAUUGGCUUGAUUGGAGAAAAAUUGGUAACAUGUAAGCCAAUAAACCCAUGGGUACAUGAAGG